GCAGCAACGCCGCGUGGGGGAAGAAGGCCUUCGGGUUGUAAACCCCUUUCAGUUGGGACGAAGCUUCGCCGGUUAAUAGCCGGCUGGAGUGACGGUACCUUCAGAAGAAGCCCCGGCUAACUACGUGCCAGCAGCCGCGGUAAUACGUAGGGGGCUAGCGUUGUCCGGAAUCAUUGGGCGUAAAGCGCGUGUAGGCGGUCCGGUAAGUCCGCUGUGAAAGUCGGGGGCUCAACCCUCGGAUGCCGGUGGAUACUGUCGGGCUUGAGUACGGAAGAGGCGAGUGGAAUUCCUGGUGUAGCGGUGAAAUGCGCAGAUAUCAGGAGGAACACCAAUUGCGAAGGCAGCUCGCUGGGACGUUACUGACGCUGAGACGCGAAAGCGUGGGGAGCAAACAGGAUUAGAUACCCUGGUAGUCCACGCUGUAAACGAUGGGCACUAGGUGUGGGGGGUGUCGACUCCCUCCGUGCCGAAGCUAACGCACUAAGUGCCCCGCCUGGGGAGUACGGCCGCAAGGUUAAAACUCAAAGGAAUUGACGG
rnacentral:rRNA from 1 species